CUGGCAAUCCUAGUGUGUAUGUGUAUUUAUAAGACACAGCAAAAUUAAGUUUUAAAAAGCAUUUACUUCUUCUACAACCUGAUUUAUUGGUAUCAAAAAUCUGUUUUGUUAGGUAACCCUUCUUCAGGAUCCCCAUUUUUAGUUAUUUGAACACCACUGCUAAUAAGCUCCAUGUAAAUAUUUGAACACCACUGCUAAUAGGCUCCAUGUAAAAUAAGAUCCAUGUAAAUUUUAGAAUUUACAUGGAAGGGCAAAAUUAAAGCAUUAAUGAAAAGGAAUAAAAGAAGGCUAUUGCCCUACCAGAUGACAAGCCUUAUCAGGAAGCUGUAGUAAUAGACAGAGUGGCAAUGAUGCUGGGAAAGACACAUUGACCACUGAAAUAGAAGAGAGAGCUCAGAAUUGACCCAUUUAUUUAUGGAACUGUGAUAAAGCAUAGAGAUGGCAUAGAGAAUCUGUGGGCAAAGGAGGCAAUAUGCCAAAGCCUGGCUGAUACAGGGCACAAAGGCCUGGCAAACAAGCAGCAACUGGGGCAACUCCAAAGGGCCAACCCAGCCCCAGAGCUUCCUGUGCGAUUAGCUGAAGUCUCCAUUGCCAUCUCAUCACAGUUCAUCUCCCUCUGCCCAACUCUGCUGUCCUAUUCUUCACAGAUGUUCCUGAGAGUGCCCUCAAGAAACCUCCCACAUGCAAAUCUCAAGUCUUAGAUUGUGCUUUCCACAGAGCCUGACUCUUGAUAGAAGGUGCUGUGCCAACAGAAGCCACUAAGGAUCUCAUAAAUUCCUAAUGAAAAGACUCUCCCCAAAGGGGCAGAUUCCCAUUCUGAGAAAAACUUCUGGGAGCAGACUGCAAACUAAGCAGGCUAUCAACACUGGAAGUAAAGAAGACAGAAGAUUCAAAGGCUGAGUGGGGGAGGGUCCAGAGGAAGCAGAACCCCCACUCAGCUAAGCCACCUUCAAAUUUCUGACCCACAGAAAGCACGAGAUGACAAAUGUUUAUUGUUUUAAGUUGUGGGGAACUACUCCAGUGUGAAGUACUACCUGUGAGGUUCCUGGGGAGAUCGAGGCAGAUUUGGGGAAAGAUUCCCUCUCCGCUCAGAGUGAUAUUUUCUGGGUCCAGGUGGGCGAUCUGUAUCUGGAAACUCCUUUUAAAGACCUCAGGUACUCCAGGAAAUAGAAGAGAGAGAAAUGCCCAUUUAUUUAUUCUGAUAUCCAAACUGAUCAAAUGCAGCAUGAAGAAGGA
rnacentral:lncRNA from 10 species